rnacentral:rRNA from 1 species
UUGAACGCUGGCGGCAUGCCUUACACAUGCAAGUCGAACGGCAGCACGGGAGCAAUCCUGGUGGCGUGUGGCGAACGGGUGAGUAAUACAUCGGAACGUGCCCAGUAGUGGGGGAUAACCCGGCGAAAGCCGGACUAAUACCGCAUACGACCUACGGGUGAAAGCGGGGGAUCGCAAGACCUCGCGCUAUCGGAGCGGCCGAUGUCAGAUUAGCUAGUUGGUGGGGUAAAGGCCUACCAAGGCGACGAUCUGUAGCUGGUCUGAGAGGACGACCAGCCACACUGGGACUGAGACACGGCCCAGACUCCUACGGGAGGCAGCAGUGGGGAAUUUUGGACAAUGGGCGCAAGCCUGAUCCAGCCAUGCCGCGUGCGGGAAGAAGGCCUUCGGGUUGUAAACCGCUUUUGUCAGGGAAGAAACGCUCCGGGCUAAUACCACGGAGUAAUGACGGUACCUGAAGAAUAAGCACCGGCUAACUACGUG